rnacentral:misc_RNA from 1 species
UUGGUYYGUUACCSGUGGUCGGCUCUUUUGCUCGUGCAACAACUUCCACCUAACACGCCUGGUUGUUUGUCCGGUUUGGCUGAAAAUGCCUGAACGAUUUGCGGGUUUCCUGUGUUGCGUACCUAACAUACGGUAUUGAUCUGGCUAAUCUAAGUGCUUUYUGUCUUUCGUCGUAAUGCUUAUGACGACAGAUGAACCCUAAACCGGUCUCUUUGAACCACGUCAAUAAAGCUUUUGUUGAUGUAGUGGCGCAUUGAGCCUUGGUUGGUCUCUUUGAUGUAGUACCUGAUGUGGGCAUGGGUCUCAUGGGAUCCCAGUUAUGUCCCUGCUUGGUGUUUAUGCUCCCWUAAAUGACUGCUUGACACGCAUUGGCAAGCAAUUGCGUUGCGUGUCGGGCACUGUCUAAGAGGAAAGUUACCUGGU